rfam:Schistosoma haematobium scaffold493_10, whole genome shotgun sequence.
GCAUUGAUGAGGUGUCCCACAAUAGGACGAAACGACCGUCCAUUAC